rnacentral:rRNA from 1 species
UACGUAGGUGGCGAGCGUUGUCCGGAUUUACUGGGCGUAAAGCGCGCGCAGGCGGUCGUUCAAGUCGCGUGUGAAAGCCCCCGGCUCAACUGGGGAGGGUCACGCGAUACUGAUCGACUCGAAGGCAGGAGAGGGAAGUGGAAUUCCCGGUGUAGUGGUGAAAUGCGUAGAUAUCGGGAGGAACACCAGUGGCGAAGGCGACUUCCUGGCCUGUUCUUGACGCUGAGGCGCGAAAGCUAGGGGAGCAAACGGG